rnacentral:rRNA from 1 species
AACGCUGGCGGCGUGCUUAACACAUGCAAGUCGAACGAGAAUCUACUGAAGGAGGAUUCGUCCAACGGAAGUAGAGGAAAGUGGCGGACGGGUGAGUAACGCGUGAGGAACCUGCCUUGAAGAGGGGGACAACAGUUGGAAAACGACUGCUAAAUACCGCAUGAAGCAGUAGGGGUCGCAUGAUUCUUAUGCCAAAAGAUUUAUCGCUUCAAGAUGGCCUCGCGUCUGAUUAGCUAGUUGGCGGGGUAAUGGCCCACCAAGGCGACGAUCAGUAGCCGGACUGAGAGGUUGAACGGCCACAUUGGGACUGAGAUACGGCCCAGACUCCUACGGGAGGCAGCAGUGGGGAAUAUUGGGCAAUGGGCGCAAGCCUGACCCAGCAACGCCGCGUGAAGGAAGAAGGCUUUCGGGUUGUAAACUUCUUUUAAGAGGGAAGAGCAGAAGACGGUACCUCUAGAAUAAGCCACGGCUAACUACGUG